rnacentral:SRP_RNA from 1 species
UGGUGGGCUAGGCUGGGGGGUUCGGCGUCCCCUGUAACCCGAAACCGUCGGUAUGCGGGAGCCGAAGCCGAGGGAAGGCUUGCCAAGCGGGAAGUUUUACCCUACUCAGCUCCGUAGAGUCCCCGUCCUGGAGGGUCGACGGUUACGGUUGGGCUUUCCGGAGGGAAUGUCCACCGUAUUUGCCGGGGGAACCGGCUCAGGCCCGGAAGGGAGCAGGCUAACCCCGGACGCUCGGCGCUUCCAGGGUAGCGGGGAGGAGGAGUUAAGUAGGGUGGCUUCCCGUAAGGCAGGUCGACCCGAGGCGCGCCCACCU